CAGGGGCGGCCCUAGCGGGGCCUCCAGGCCCAGUCAGUCCAGCGCGCGGCGUGGGGGCGGGGCCUGCGGUUCCCGGGGCGGGGCGGUGGCGCGAGGUCAGCUGACCCAGCGGGCCCUGACCCAAAAGCUGGGCCCUGGCGGCGGAUCUGGACGUGGCGGCCCGCGCCUGGCUGAGUCACCAGGAGGGAGCUGUGGCGGAGGACGCCGAGGCCUGGAGUGGGUGGUAGGCCCAAGCCGGGACGCUCCUCCCUCCACAUUCUCCCCAGGUCUGCAGGAACAAGGGCCCACACUGCCUCGUCCCACGCCGUGUUUAGGAACCCUUGCUGGCCUCAGAACACCAGCGCCCUCCCUCUGGUGCAGCCCUGCCUGGCCGGGGGCCCCUCCUCCACAGCCAUGGUUUGGAAGAAACUGGGCUCCCACAACUUCUCCAGCUGCCCCAAUGGCUCCAUCCAGUGGAUAUGGGAUGUGUUGGGUGAAUGUGCCCAGGACGGCUGGGACGAGGCCAGCGUGGGCCUGGGCCUGAUCUCCAUUCUCUGCUUUGCUGCAUCUACCUUCCCCCAGUUCAUCAAAGCCUACAAGACGGGCAACAUGGACCAGGCGCUGUCCCUGUGGUUCCUCCUGGGCUGGAUUGGCGGAGACUCCUGCAACCUCAUCGGCUCCUUCCUUGCUGACCAGCUGCCCCUGCAGACCUACACGGCUGUGUAUUACGUCUUGGCAGACCUGGUGAUGCUGACGCUGUACUUUUACUACAAGUUCAGGAAACGCCCCUCUCUGUUUUCUGCCCCCAUCAACUCCGUGUUGUUGUUCCUCAUGGGGAUGGUGUGCACGACACCGCUGCUGAGCGCUGCUGGGCCCGUGGCUGCCCCAAGGGAAGCCUUCCGGGGGCGGGCGCUCCUGUCCGUGGAGCCAGGCAGCAAGCCCUUCACCCAGCAGGAAAUCAUUGGUUUCGUCAUCGGCUCCAUCUCCAGCGUGUUGUACCUGCUCUCCCGGCUGCCUCAGAUCCGCACCAACUUCCUCCGGAAGUCCACCCAGGGGAUCUCCUACUCACUGUUCGCGCUGGUGAUGCUGGGGAACACGCUGUAUGGGCUGAGCGUGCUGCUCAAAAACCCCGAGGAGGGCCAGAGCGAGGGCAGCUACCUGCUGCACCACCUGCCCUGGCUUGUGGGCAGCCUGGGCGUGCUGCUGCUGGACACCAUUAUCUCCAUCCAGUUCCUGGUGUACAGGCGCAGCACCGCCACCUCGGAGCUUGAGCCCCUCCUCCUCCCCAGCUGACCAGAGCCAGGCUGAGCGCAGGAGGACAGGCACCACCGGAUGCCACACCAGGCAGGGGGAGGUGUGGACAGUGAUGGUACCGCGGCCCUGCAUCAGCCUGUGGGUGGCCUCUGGAUCCUCCAUGGACCAAACCAUCCACCCCGGAACACACCUUCAGGAUGAUUGUACAGCUGACGAAAGUGACAGCUCAAGGAGCAGCUGGUGGGUUUCCUGAAGGGAAGUCCCCUGAGAGGAGAGCGGGCCUGAACCUCCGGGGUGACUCUCAGGGCGGCGGGGCUGGGGACCGGACACUUCCUUGCUGCUGUGAGCGGGGCCCACGCACGUCCCCGCUUGGAGCCAGCGCACGGCCACUGCCACACGCGCUUGGAAAGUGAGGCCGGCGAGAAGGAACACAGAAGGCCAGCGCUAACUGCGUCCCAGUUUCUUUUUAUUGAUUUUUUUUUCUUUUCUUUUUUAAGUAUGGAGGCUCAAGUAUAAGAUGAUUUUUUUCUUAAGCUUUACAAAAAAACAAAAUAAAACAAAAACCUCCUUUUGCAUUCCAUAGAAAUUGACAGAAAAGCACCUGGCCGGAAGAGCGGAACGGUCGGCAGCCCCCCCCCAGCCCCCACCCCGCGGCCUCCGUGGGACGGGCGAGUCUGCGCAGGACGGCACGGAGGGCCACCUCUGCUCCCGGAGCUGUCCCCUGUCCCCACGACCCCCAACCCCAAGCAACUCCCAAACACACACGGAAUAAGAUUUCCAGUUUUUCUUCUCUCUUUCACA